rnacentral:piRNA from 1 species
UGUCAUACACAUAAUUCUGCAUAUAGAGC